UACAGAGGGUGCGAGCGUGUCCGGAAUCACUGGGCGUAAAGGGCGCGUAGGCGGCUUGAUAGCGUGCGGUGAAAGCCCGGGCUCAACCCCGGGUCGGCCGUGCGAACUGUCGAGCUGGAGCACUGUAGGAGGCAGGUGGAAUUCCGGGUGUAGCGGUGGAAUGCGUAGGAGAUCCGGGAAGAACACCGGGUGGCGAAGGCGGCCUGCUGGGCAGUGG
rnacentral:rRNA from 1 species